UCCACACUCCAGAACAGACUGAUGAGCGUGCUCACUUCCCCUGCUCUUACACAGCUCAGGACCCAAACUCAGGGAAUGGUGUGUUUUAAUUCGGGUUUCUAUUGCCGCGAAGAGACAACAUGACCACGGCAACUAUUGUAGAGAAAAACAUUUAACUGAGGUGGCGGCUUACAGUUUCAGAGGUUUAGUCCAUUAUCAUCACAGUGGAGAGCAUGGCGGCUGCAAGUAUGGUGACGUGCAGGCAGACAUGCCUUCUGGAGAAGUAGCCGAGAGUCCUACAUCUUGCAGAUCAAUCACUGGCACUUAGGAAGAAAGGCAUGUCCCCAAGUUCAUGGGAAGAAGUAACGAGAUGACUGUCUUCAUAGUAAGAUCUUCAGGGUGUUGGUGGCGCACACCUUUAAUCCCAGCAGUAGGGAGGCAGAAGCAGGCGGAUCUCUGUGAGUUCAAAGCCAGCCUGGUCUACAGAGCGAGUUCCAGGACUGGCUCCAAAGCUACACAGAAAAACCCUGUCUCCAGAAAAAAAAAAAAAAAAAAAAAAAAAAGCAACCAAAGUAAGAUCUUCAUGCAAAGCCUUUCUGAAGGAAGAAGGCAAACAUGCCAAGGCCUCUUUGACUCCCUCAUCUAUCAGCAGUAUGUUUGGAAUGUCACGUGUGUUGAGAGCCAGGCUAUGCAGCCAUGGCUUGGCCUGGUGGAGGUUAGCAUCUAGCACGUAUGCAGACUCAGGGGUGGAAAAUUCCAGCUCUGAGGGGGAGGUUAAGAUGGUACAUGAGAAGCUCUGAGACUCAGGGAAGUGCACAGUCCCUGCCCAAGGAAGGGGGCAGCCACACUGGGUCAUCUCAGUCCAGGGGAGUCAGGGCAAGGGUGGAGGUGGCCUUUUGCUCUCUGAUAGUGGGAUCAUAGUCUGGCCACGUGAUGUUGACUUUAGUGAGGGAAAGGCCCUGGGUAGAAAAUAUGGAGGACCCAACAGGAUUAUCAAAAGGCUAUGGUCCUAGUUCACGGUGAGAUAGACUUGAACACAUGCCCUCAACAGCAGCCCUUAGGAUGGCACUGACUCAAAGUGUGUAACAAGAACAAGUGGGCCUGUCUUGGCACCGGACAGUCGGCUGCAGUGUGAGCUGAUUGAGGAUGGAGAUCUGAUGUUCCAUACCAGCUAGUCACCUCUUCUAACUCUGCAGUUUGUGGCAGUUCAGAGUAAAGCUAUGGCCAGAAGAACCUCACUCCCCCAGCACACGAAUGCGCGCUCUGCCCCGUGAUGCUUGUACAUGUCUGAAGUUAAACGGUAGACGUUGUAUUUUUUUUUAGCCUUUAGUUGUGAUCAUUAGACUAUUAAUACAAAAGAAGGUGGCUUAAAUGUGGGAUGUGCUCCUGCUCUUCCAGAUGGAGACGGCUGCUGUGUGGCAGGUGCUUGCAUUUAUUCCGGAAAUCUGUUCUUUCUGUCCGUUUCCCUUUGCCGGAGUCUGUCUUACAAUCUUUCCAGGGCUGGGAUAAAUGUCAGAUUUUUUCAUUUGCAUCAUGUGGAACCUAGAACUACACCAGAGAAAAAGGUUAUUUGACUCAAACGUCGUGGCGGUGCACAACAGCAAUGCUUACCUCAACUCAGAUGGUGCUUCACUCAGUGAACAGUGGCUUAAACCACCCCCUCUGCGUGACUGAGUUAAGACUUCAUGGGGGGCUGGGCAGGGUGACCCACAUCUGUAAUGCAGAACAGCCAGGGCUACACAGACAGACCCCUUCUCAAGACAAAAAAGAAACAAAAAAGAUUCCUCAUGGCCAUCUCCUCACAGCUUACCUCACUGUGACAACAGCUCUAAUGUGAGCACCGCCCUAAGAGAACAACCAUCUUCAUAGGGCUCGUGAAUAGAUUUCAGAACAGUGCAUGAAGAAGGUGGCUGGGGAUGCUUGUUUAGGUACACCCUUAUGAAUCCGCUAUAUCCUGUCUAUGUAUAUAAGGCCUAUAAAGGCCUGGAACUUCACACAGAGUGAAUCAUUAGAUAUUUAAAUGCCCUGUGCCCUGAAUGCACCACAAUGAAAAGGGAGAGCUCUUCAUUAAGAGUUCUUUCAAGCCAGGUGAUGGUGGCACACGCCUUUAACCCCAUCACUAGGGAGGCAGAGGUAGGCAGAUUUCUGUGAGUUCGAGGCCAGCCUGGUCUACAGAGUGAGUUCUGGGGCAGCCAGAGCUACACAGAGAAACCCUAUCUCGAAACCCACCCCCCUCCAAAAAAAGAGUAUUUUCAAAUAUGGCUGGAACCCACUUUGAAGAGGCACUCAAGUCAUUUGCAUUCUUUGCAAACAUUUUUCAGGAGGUAACGUUUUUGGAAAAUAUUCAAGACUGAACCGAGAUGCGCUGGGAAAGUUAUGUGCUGUGAGGGAGUCAGUCAUUAGAGCCGGGCUGAACUGAGACACCCACAGGGAUUCCUGUGUGUGGGAAGCUGUCAAGGGCAGUUUUCCCUGAGCCUGAGAGACAGUGGUGAGGACCUCCUCCAAACUAGGAGAUUGAUGGUGGUCCUGUGGUUGGUCUGAAAAGUAGGAUAAAGUCAGAGCUAACCAUGCUGCAUGUCAAUACACUCCAGCCCAUAAAGGGGGCGUGUUGCCCGCCUGGAGUGACUGGGGUCAUAGCUGUGUGUACUAGCCCAGGUUAAUGAUGCAGUUGGGGGUGCCUGUCAUGUAUACAGCUGGAGGUUCCUGUCAGGCAUACAUUGGGGGUGGCUUUCAGGAGCCCUCCUGAGUGAGACUAGGACCCCAGCAAAAGAGGCUCAAGAGAGAUCUCUCACCCCUUCCAUCAUGAUGUUGCAGUAAGAAGGUACUCUCACAGUCUCCCACAGAUUGGCAGUGGGACUAGAUAAGCUGCCUUUCUUUGUGGCUCUCCUGACAUGAAGGUCCCAGCGGUUCUGCUUCAUAUCCUGUGUUCUGGGAUAGCUUAAUGAGCAGUCACCUUCUCCAGUGUCAACAGUCACCAUGGCAGGAGACAGGCAUGGAUGUAAUGAGCCCUGCUCAUACUUGUAAGGAGUCUUGUCACUUGCCUCAGAUUAGGUAUUUAAUUUGGACCCUCAACUUGACUGGAUUUUGAGUUGCCACAGAAAUAUACCUCUGUGUGUAUCUCUAGGGGGUUUCCAAAAUGUUUAACUGCAGAGGGAAUGCUCACCCUACUUCAGGGGCCACCAUGCCACAGGCUGGAACCCUAGCUUCAUUCCCCAGUGUUUCCUAACUGUAGACAAUGUGAGCAUCCUCAGGAUCCUGCCUCCCUGCCUUCAUCACUGCCAUGGGCUUGUAUCCUUGAACUGAG
ensembl:lncRNA